rnacentral:rRNA from 1 species
GCAGCUUGCUGCUUUGCUGACGAGUGGCGGACGGGUGAGUAAUGUCUGGGAAACUGCCUGAUGGAGGGGGAUAACUACUGGAAACGGUAGCUAAUACCGCAUAACGUCGCAAGACCAAAGAGGGGGACCUUCGGGCCUCUUGCCAUCGGAUGUGCCCAGAUGGGAUUAGCUAGUAGGUGGGGUAACGGCUCACCUAGGCGACGAUCCCUAGCUGGUCUGAGAGGAUGACCAGCCACACUGGAACUGAGACACGGUCCAGACUCCUACGGGAGGCAGCAGUGGGGAAUAUUGCACAAUGGGCGCAAGCCUGAUGCAGCCAUGCCGCGUGUAUGAAGAAGGCCUUCGGGUUGUAAAGUACUUUCAGCGGGGAGGAAGGGAGUAAAGUUAAUACCUUUGCUCAUUGACGUUACCCGCAGAAGAAGCACCGGCUAACUCCGUGCCAGCAGCCGCGGUAAUACGGAGGGUGCAAGCGUUAAUCGGAAUUACUGGGCGUAAAGCGCACGCAGGCGGUUUGUUAAGUCAGAUGUGAAAUCCCCGGGCUCAACCUGGGAACUGCAUCUGAUACUGGCAAGCUUGAGUCUCGUAGAGGGGGGUAGAAUUCCAGGUGUAGCGGUGAAAUGCGUAGAGAUCUGGAGGAAUACCGGUGGCGAAGGCGGCCCCUGGAC